AGGGUUUGAUCCUGGCUCAGGAUGAACGCUGGCGGCGUGCCUAACACAUGCAAGUCGAGCGAGAUUAUUAGGAAGCUUGCUUUUUAAUGAUUUAGCGGCGGACGGGUGAGUAACGCGUAGGUAACUUGCCUUUUACUGGGGAAUAACACUUGGAAACGGGUGCUAAUACCGCAUAAUACUAUUUUGGGGCAUCUUGAGAUAGUCAAAGGAGUAACCCGGUAGAAGAUAGACCUGCGUCUGAUUAGCUAGUUGGUGAGGUAAAAGCUCACAAAGGCGACGAUCAGUAGCCGAACUGAGAGGUUGAUCGGCCACAUUGGGACUGAGACACGGCCCAAACUCCUACGGGAGGCAGCAGUGGGGAAUAUUGCUCAAUGGAGGAAACUCUGAAGCAGCAACGCCGCGUGAAGGAAGAAGGCUCUUGGGUUGUAAACUUCUUUGAAUGGGGACGAAAAAAAUGACGGUACCCAUAAAACAAGCCACGGCUAACUACGUGCCAGCAGCCGCGGUAAUACGUAGGUGGCAAGCGUUAUCCGGAAUUACUGGGUGUAAAGGGCGUGUAGGCGGGAGAAUUAGUCAGAUGUGAAAUGCCAAGGCUUAACCAUGGAACUGCAUCUGAAACUGUUCUUCUUGAGUACUGGAGAGGAAAGUGGAAUUCCUAGUGUAGCGGUGAAAUGCGUAGAUAUUAGGAGGAACACCAGUGGCGAAGGCGGCUUUCUGGACAGUAACUGACGCUGAGGCGCGAAAGCGUGGGGAGCAAACAGGAUUAGAUACCCUGGUAGUCCACGCUGUAAACGAUGGAUACUAGGUGUAGGAGGUAUCGACCCCUUCUGUGCCGGAGUUAACACAAUAAGUAUCCCACCUGGGGAGUACGGCCGCAAGGUUGAAACUCAAAGGAAUUGACGGGGGCCCGCACAAGCAGUGGAGUAUGUGGUUUAAUUCGAAGCAACGCGAAGAAUCUUACCAGGGCUUGACAUGUUAAUGAAGUCUGUAGAGAUACAGAUGUCCUUCGGGACAUUAAUGCAGGUGGUGCAUGGUUGUCGUCAGCUCGUGUCGUGAGAUGUUGGGUUAAGUCCCGCAACGAGCGCAACCCUUAUUGUUAGUUGCCAGCAAGUAAUGUUGGGCACUCUAGCGAGACUGCCGGCGAAAAGUCGGAGGAAGGUGGGGACGACGUCAAAUCAUCAUGCCCCUUAUGUCCUGGGCUACACACGUACUACAAUGGCCGUUACAGAGGGAAGCGAAGCGGUGACGUGGAGCAAAUCCCCAAAGACGGUCCCAGUUCGGAUUGUAGGCUGAAACUCGCCUACAUGAAGUUGGAAUUGCUAGUAAUGGCAGGUCAGCAUACUGCCGUGAAUACGUUCCCGGGCCUUGUACACACCGCCCGUCACACCAUGGAAGCUGACUAGGCCCGAAAUCGUUGUAAACGCCUAAGGCACAGUUAGUGACUGGGGUGAAGUCGUAACAAGGUAGGGCUACUGGAAGGUG
rnacentral:rRNA from 1 species